rnacentral:rRNA from 1 species
CCUACGGGGGGCAGCAGUGAGGAAUAUUUUUCACUUUCCUCUCUUCUUCCCCCUCCCCUUCUCUUUCCUGAUGACUGCCCUCUUUUUUUUAAACUUCUUUUAUAUGGGAAUAAAAUGUUCCACGUGUGGGAUUUUGUAUGUACCAUAUGAAUAAGGAUCGGCUAACUCCGUGCCAGCAGCCGCGGUAAUACGGAGGAUCCGAGCGUUAUCCGGAUUUAUUGGGUUUAAAGGGAGCGUAGGUGGAUUGUUAAGUCAGUUGUGAAAGUUUGCGGCUCAACCGUAAAAUUGCAGUUGAAACUGGCAGUCUUGAGUACAGUAGAGGUGGGCGGAAUUCGUGGUGUAGCGGUGAAAUGCUUAGAUAUCACGAAGAACUCCGAUUGCGAAGGCAGCUUACUAAACUGCCACUGACAUUGAUGCUCGAAAGUGUGGGUAUCAAACAGGAUUAGAUACCCGGGUAGUC